GACGAACGCUGGCGGCGUGCCUAAUACAUGCAAGUAGAACGCACAGUUUAUACCGUAGCUUGCUACACCAUAGACUGUGAGUUGCGAACGGGUGAGUAACGCGUAGGUAGCCUGCCUGGUAGCGGGGGAUAACUAUUGGAAACGAUAGCUAAUACCGCAUAAUAUUGAUUAUUGCAUGAUAAUUGAUUGAAAGAUGCUAUUGCAUCACUACCAGAUGGACCUGCGUUGUAUUAGCUAGUAGGUGAGGUAACGGCUCACCUAGGCGACGAUACAUAGCCGACCUGAGAGGGUGAUCGGCCACACUGGGACUGAGACACGGCCCAGACUCCUACGGGAGGCAGCAGUAGGGAAUCUUCGGCAAUGGACGAAAGUCUGACCGAGCAACGCCGCGUGAGUGAAGAAGGUUUUCGGAUCGUAAAGCUCUGUUGUAAGAGAAGAACGGGUGUGAGAGUGGAAAGUUCACACUGUGACGGUAUCUUACCAGAAAGGGACGGCUAACUACGUG
rnacentral:rRNA from 1 species